UCCUACGGGAAGCAGCAGUGGGGAAUAUUGGACAAUGGGGGGAACCCUGAUCCAGCCAUGCCGCGUGUGUGAAGAAGGCCUUAUGGUUGUAAAGCACUUUAAGCGAGGAGGAGGCUCCCGUAGCUAAUAUCUACGGAGAGUGGACGUUACUCGCAGAAUAAGCACCGGCUAACUCUGUGCCAGCAGCCGCGGUAAUACAGAGGGUGCGAGCGUUAAUCGGAUUUACUGGGCGUAAAGCGUGCGUAGGCGGCUUUUUAAGUCGGAUGUGAAAUCCCCGAGCUUAACUUGGGAAUUGCAUUCGAUACUGGGAAGCUAGAGUAUGGGAGAGGAUGGUAGAAUUCCAGGUGUAGCGGUGAAAUGCGUAGAGAUCUGGAGGAAUACCGAUGGCGAAGGCAGCCAUCUGGCCUAAUACUGACGCUGAGGUACGAAAGCAUGGGGAGCAAACAGGAUUAGAUACCCUGGUAGUCCAUGCUGUAAACGAUGUCUACUAGCCGUUGGGGCCUUUGAGGCUUUAGUGGCGCAGCUAACGCGAUAAGUAGACCGCCUGGAGUUUGGACCU
rnacentral:rRNA from 1 species